rnacentral:snRNA from 1 species
AAGAUCAAUCUUUCCUUGCUUAA